UACGUAGGGGGCAAGCGUUGUCCGGAUUUAUUGGGCGUAAAGAGCGUGUAGGCGGCCAGGUAGGUCAGCUGUGAAAACUCGAGGCUCAACCUCGAGACGCCGGUUGAAACCAUCUGGCUAGAGUCCGGAAGAGGAGAGUGGAAUUCCUGGUGUAGCGGUGAAAUGCGCAGAUAUCAGGAAGAACACCCGUGGCUAAGGCGGCUCUCUGGUCGACAUCUGACGCUGAGACGCGAAAGCGUGGGGAGCGAACGGG
rnacentral:rRNA from 1 species